CCUACGGGUGGCAGCAGUGGGGAAUAUUGCACAAUGGGGGGAACCCUGAUGCAGCGACGCCGCGUGGGUGAAGGAGUAUUUCGGUAUGUAAAGCCCUAUCAGCAGGGAAGAACAAUGACGGUACCUUACUAAGAAGCACCGGCUAAAUACGUGCCAGCAACCGCGGUAAUACGUAUGGUGCAAGCGUUAUCCGGAUUUACUGGGUGGAAAGGGAGCGCAGGCGGCGCGUUAAGCCUGGUGUGAAAGCCCGCGGCCCAACCGCGGGACUGCAUUGGGAACUGGCGCGCUGGAGUGCCGGAGGGGUAGGCGGAAUUCCUAGUGUAGCGGUGAAAUGCGUAGAUAUUAGGAGGAACACCAGUGGCGAAGGCGGCCUACUGGACGGUGACUGACGCUGAGGCUCGAAAGCGUGGGGAGCAAACAGGAUUAGAUACCCCGGUAGUC
rnacentral:rRNA from 1 species